CCGAAGUACAGGCCCUUUUACAGGGCUAAACUUCCACCCUUUGUUUACUAUUCUUUGUUGCUUUGGCGAGACGUCUUCGGACCACCGGCUCUUGGGCUGGUGAGCGCUCGCCAGAGGAAAAUCAAACCCAAACCUUUUUUAGUGUCGUCUGAGAAACAAGUUUAAUUAUUA
rnacentral:misc_RNA from 1 species